GUAGAAGGCCAGGGGGUGGCUGGGUUCCUUCUUUCCCCCCUCCGGGGAGGGGAGGGGAGCCCUGCAGCCCCCCAGCUCUGCCUAGGCCAGAGUUAGAGACAGCAUUGGAGUGAGUGUUUGUGAGGGAUGCGACUCACAAACAACUGGUAAGCGAGAGAGAGAGAGGCAGGCCUUGCGGCCAGGUCCUCUUCUUCUUUCCCCCCCUUUGCAGCCAGACUGCAGAAGGGGCUGUUUUUCCCUCUCACUGUUUAGUGGGAGUGGUGCAAGGCUCAGCAUUUGAAGCAGAGCCAAGUGGACGGGCUGAUAACGAAGCAGCUCGUCACUAGGGAAAAGAAUCUCAGGUGAAACUGGAGAUGGGCCAAAGGGCUCGGGAGUUGCCCUGCCGAGAUUUGACUGGGAGCAACCAAAAACUGACUUGGAGGAAUGAAGAUUCCAAAUGCCUACUGUGAUAAGCUACACUACAGCAGCAGUGAACCGAGGUAUGAGAGAGAGAUCACACAGCAGAAAUGACACAGGACCAAGGAGAAAGGACUCGGAGCUACCUUCUUGGACUUCAGGAGGAAGGAAGGACUUCCACAAACAGCUGGAGCUUGGUGAGGGGGAAGGGUUUGGGUCCCCGAACACUCCCACGAGAGAGAGACUGGUUACCUAUCAGCCUCGAAAGGCUUUUCCUGGACUAAAAUUAAAAGGAGAAGCUUUGAAGAGACUGACAGAAGUGUAAUAUAUGUAUAUAUGUAUAUGUGUAUAUAUAUAUAUAUAGUUGUUUUUAGUUUAUACAGUAUAUUUAUUUAUGUAAAUAAAUGUAUAUAUGCUUCCCUCUUCCCCUAUAGAAGCCUCUAGCCUGAAAGUUUUCUCUUCAAUGUUAGGAGAAAUUGUGGGAAGGGGUGGGAAAGCCUGGAAAUUGGAUUUUGGAUUUCUAAUGUGGCUCAAACUGCCACAAUCUGUAUUUCAUCUUCUCUUCUUUUUAUCUUGGCUCAUAAGUGCUAACUAAAAACUUAUAAUUUCUAAACUUCAGAAAUGUCAGCUUAUUACAAAGUUAACCCAGAAAUAGCAGUUAUCUUCCUGGUCUGCACAUGAUCCUUGAAAACUAUGCAUGUCUCAUUUCCCUUAAAAAAAACUUUUCCUUUUUGCUUAACAUAAUUUUAGCACGUUUGACACUUCCAUUCCCUUUACAGUACAUUCAAUUCUGAAGUCAGCAGGUGCCAACAGCUACAAGGGAAACAAUCAGAGCUCAUAGCAGUGAGACUUCAAAUAUUGAAAUUGGCCUGUUUAAAAAUAAAUGCUUAAAUAAAAGUGAGACAUUCAGUUAUAUAGGUAGUUGCCAAAUAUGCACAUAUUAAAAACUCACUGCUUAUAGCAUGGCCAUCUUCAGACAGAUAUUUGUACCUGCACCAACUCUGAAGUUAAUCCACUUUUUUGAAUUUUCUAUUUUUUCUCUGUGUAUUAUUUGUUCUUUUCUUGAAUUUCAGUCUGCAUGAGUUUACCUGUUGUUGUUGUUGUUUUUCAUCAGUUGUUGUUGGGGGUAUGAGAAAUAAAUGACUUGGUUUUAUUAUAAGCAAAUUAAUUUAGUGGAAAAACAGAAGGGGGUGGAGGUUUUUUUUUUUCAUUUAUUUCCAAGGGGGUUUUUUAGGUGUAUUGUGAAAGCUGUAAGGUGGAGGGUCCUGUCUGGGCCUGACGCCAGGGAAUUUUUGUGGCUGGGAAUAGGGAAAAGUGUAAAAACAAAAAUAUACCUUCUGCCACAUGGUCAUCCAUUGUGUACGGAGAGACAUCCCUGUACAAAGGCUGGGGGGUAUGUCCAAAUCAAUCAAGAGGGAAGGUAACACCCCCUCCUGAGUCCAAGAAAUUACUUUUUAAGGUAAAAAAACAGGGAUCACUGAAUAUAUAACAGUUUAUGUAACUGGGAGAGUACAAAAGGUGUGGUUUUCAAAUGGUUGGUGUGCCUUCAGGUCCAUGUGACUUGGAAGUGCACCUAGCGCGCUGCAAUAAAGAACUUCCAGCUACAUUUUCCUUUGUCCUGCAGAUGUUCUUACAACAAGAGCCGACGUGCUUGAUGGAGGAGAUUGACCUGGAAGAAUAUUGUCUCCUGGAGCUAUGCACUGCAUUCCUGAUGAGAAAUUGCAGUGCUAGCAUGAAGGCUCUAAAUCCCUUCUGAUGUUACUUCUAGAAUCAUUAUCAGCUAGUCCUGCUAAAAUGCUUCAUUGCAUUCCUGCUUUCUACUUUCUGUUAUGCAAAUCCAAUCAGAUUAUGCACCUCCUCACAAAAUUAAGCUUGUUACAGUGCAAGCACGGUCCUGUGUCUUCACUCAAAUUUGCGAUAAACCUGGGAUCUUUAUCUUGUGAUUCUCGCUGUAACCAUGGCAAGCUGCCUCAGCAGAAGGUCAGCAAUUCAUUAGUAAUAUGGAAACACAUAGAUGGCUGCUGACAAUUUGAAGGAAAUGGAGUUUCUGUGUGGUGUUAAACUUUAUAACCGUGUCAACUUUUUCCCGUCUCCUUGAAAAUGACAUCCUGUGUUCAGCAGUUGUUGAUUACCAUCCUCUGUUCUCAAGUUCUGUGACAAAGCUGUAAAAUAUCUUGUCUUUUUUUUUCAGCAGUUAUAGCGGGUUCCUUCUCCUUAAGGUUUACCACUUUGUGUGCCACUAUGUCAUAGGUUUGAAAAGAGAUGUUGGAGUUUCCUUUUUCUUCCCUAGGGCCCCUCCCCCGCCCGCGUUCCUCUCCCCCCACCCCCGCCACCUGUUUCUUCCUGGACGGGAGUGAGGGAGCGGGCGGGAGCGGAGUAGCGCCGCACAUGCGGGGCAGCAGGGGGUGGGAGGAGAAGGAGGGCUCGUGGGGAAGCGCGGUGGCUGUGGGGAGGGCUGGGAGUCCUUUGUUCGGGGGCUUUUUGGGGGUGGUCCGUGAACCGGACAGACCGGGACCCCGGCUUUUUGGGCGCCUCCUUUUCUUUUCCUAAGAGGAACGUGGUGGUGUUUUUUUUUUUUUUUCCCAUGGGACACCUCACGGAGGACAACUGAGAGAGCGAGACUGAGCCAUCUCAGAGCGAGGUAUAUUCUGCUUUCAAGACUUUCGCAAUGCUCCUGCAAGCCCACGUGGCUGCAUGCAGCUUUUGAAUAUCCGGGACAGUCCUGCCUUUCCCCCCGCUCCUCCCCAAGUUGCCUCGGGUUUCCUCCCUCUUCGCCUGGGGAACUGGCACUUUGUUUUGUUUCUUCUGAAAGUUUUUGAUUGCACCAUUUGUUGUUUAUUCAGAUUUUGUCAAUAAAAAGCUGUUUCUUUUACUUUUCCACACUUCCACCUGAA